rnacentral:rRNA from 1 species
GACGAACGCUGGCGGCGUGCUUAACACAUGCAAGUCGAGCGGAAAGGCCCUUCGGGGUACUCGAGCGGCGAACGGGUGAGUAACACGUGAGUAACCUGCCCCAGACUUUGGGAUAACCCUCGGAAACGGGGGCUAAUACCGGAUACGACACAGCUUCGCAUGGGGUCUGUGUGGAAAGUUUUUCGGUUUGGGAUGGGCUCGCGGCCUAUCAGCUUGUUGGUGGGGUGAUGGCCUACCAAGGCGACGACGGGUAGCCGGCCUGAGAGGGCGACCGGUCACACUGGGACUGAGACACGGCCCAGACUCCUACGGGAGGCAGCAGUGGGGAAUAUUGCACAAUGGGCGGAAGCCUGAUGCAGCGACGCCGCGUGAGGGAUGACGGCCUUCGGGUUGUAAACCUCUUUCAGCAGGGACGAAGCGUAAGUGACGGUACCUGCAGAAGAAGCGCCGGCCAACUACGUG